rnacentral:tRNA from 1 species
GCCCUUAUAGCUCAGUGGUAGAGCGCUUGUCUCGUAUACUCUCUGUAAACAAGAGGUCCGCCGUUCGAUCCGGCGUGAGGGCA